rnacentral:lncRNA from 1 species
CCAUAUCCGUGAAGGACUGCUUUCCAGCAGAGGAAAACUUCUCGUUGCUGCGCUUGCCGUUAAAGAGUAAGAUGCUGAUUCUAUAGCAGCUCCGAUUCCUUCACCGAGAACAAGAAGGAAGUCUUAUAGAACGAACAAGCGCUAAAGAAGGGGGUGGGAUCUCUCCUAAAAGAAAGAAUUGACCUCGAGCCUGUCCUACUCAUUCUCCCUUUCCCGUUCCUAACCCUGAGUGUGGAGGGGUUAGCCUUGAGCCAGGUCUUGAUUGUUUAUUCAAUUUUGUCAGUUUAAGUACUGGAAUGGGAGUUACAGAUAUUCAUUCCUAAACUAUGUCACCGAUUGGUGACCUG